CAGGUCCCUGUCUCCUGCAGAGAGAACUCCCUCCAUGGGGCAGAAGCCAGAGCAGCGAACCCUGGAGUGGAAGGCAGGGCGGUGAGCUGGGAACCCUGACCCAGCUGACCUUCGCGGAUUUAGAAAGGGUCUGAAGAGCAGCCAUGAGACUGAAUCCCAGCCAGGAAGGAAGUGCGUCUCGGAAACCGAGCCCUCCGGCUGGAGUGCUGCCCAUACCCAGCACCCUUGGGCCUCCCCGGCGAGGGGCCUCGCGCCUCUCGUGACCCUCGGGAGGCUGUAACCCUUCUAACCUCAAGACAGAAGCGUGAACGCCUGCGGCGGCUGUGGUUUAACAGUUAGUGCCAGAGAGAAGUCGCCCACGCGAGCCCUGCUGCGACUCACUGUCUGCACGUGCACCACGAGCAUGGGGACCGCAGUCCCUCUGCCACCGCCAGCUCCUCGGCAUCCAGCCAAAGCCACCCAGCGCCUGCCACGCUAGGUCAGGCCCCUACCACCAGCUGUGAGCUCCCCAAGGGCCAACGUGGCUCUGCUCAUUCCUGCGGCCCAGUGACCUGCGAGGGCCCGGCAACUGGAGGUGGGAAGGUACACGGCUGAGGCCGGAUGAGGAAGAUAAGGCAGAGAGGACAGAACACUCAGGCCCAAGGGCCUGCAGCUGGCGAGCGGCCAAGGUUCUUGGACCAGGCACGAGGCUGAAGAACGAGCUAGCCAAGGGCUUGGCAUGAAGCCUCCCGUGGGACUGGAAGACUUCCAAGAACCAGGGUCCUGGGACCAAAAGCCUGGAAGGCCUGGCCCUGAGCCAGCAUUUGUGGGGGAGGGACCAGUACCCGGGCAAGGAAGAUGUCUCUCUCCUCCCGCAGCAAUGACAGCUCUGCUUGGGGGGCCUACUGCAGUUGCCCAGGAGGGCAGUCCUUCAGCCUCCUGGAGGAUGCAAAGCAAAUCCUGUCGGCCUUCUCUCCACUGCGCAGCUGACCUCAGCCCACUUCCCAGCCCUGCCCCCCUCCAGCCACUGGCUUGGCUCCCACAGCAGCCACGCUCCACUCCUCAGGGGGACGUGGUCACGGCAUCUUUCCGACCACACCCUCUCCUGCCUGCGCAUCCUCCCCUGGAUCCUAC